CCACUUAUAAUCUUCCUUUGAGGAAAGAGCACUGUGGAGACCUUUCAUGUAGAGGUGGAAGAACAGCCUUGAAACAUACGAAUUGCAACAAAUAACAUCUAGCAGUUGAAUUCUAGCUGUUCAGAAAUCUUUGAGAGAGAGAAAGAAGUGAAGCAUAAGGUUCAUAUUAAGAUGUAUCCUCUUGGAAAUGGAGCAGGCAGGCAGAGACUGAAUCUGGACCAUAGCCCUUGGGUCUCCUAAGGCUGGAAAUACAGGUACCAUUUCACUCAAAGGU